ensembl:lncRNA
UCUCCCCUGCUCAGUGAGGCUCACCUGAAGAUCGGCACGUCCCAGGACUCAGCACUAUCUGAUCAGGAUAGAGUGGCAGGUUCCUCCUCCUGGGUGCACCGCCAGUCCCUACAAGGGAUUCUUCUGAAAACUCUCCCCCUUCACUGGGCUUGGAAGGUAGAAUGACAAAGAAGCAGCCCUCCCUCCCCCACAUAGCCCAUCAUAUGACUCCCUCAUCAGUCUCAGGCCCAGAGCCACAGGACACGUCCCAGUUUAUAGCCUAUCCCACAAUCAAGCACUUCUUGAUCUUUUGAUCAAAGCUUCCAGGUUUGGAAGCUCUGCUAAUUGCAUUGAGCUCAUGAACAUUGUAAAAGCCAGGCUCCAUAAGAAUAAAAUUAUUGAUUCCUCCUCACCCUCCUUCCUCCUUAAAUUCUCCAGUGGCCAAAGGAAUACAAAGUGACUUCUAGGAAGUGGCCGUUAAAGAAAGGGGCAGGAUCUUCCCUAUUUCCUGAUGGCUAGAAGGUAGACAUGAUGGCUGGAGCUACAGCAACUAUUUUGGGCUAUGAAGUAGACACUAUAUGAUAAAGGUACCAGAGCAACAGAGCAGGAUAAGUCUGGAUUCCUCACAAUCACAGACUGCCUUUCCAAUCCCAGGCUAUUUGGGUCUCUUUACAUCAGAAAUACCUUAUCAUGUUCAACCAAUCUUUUCAAGCUUUCUUUCUCUUACAGCCAAAUUUCAUGUUGAUAGUUUGGCUCUAAGCUUGAGCCCACUCUUUAUUAGAAAAAUUCCUUUCUCGAGACAAUCAGGAUUGAAAGAUAAAUGGAAAGGAAAUGACAUUUGCAUUAUGAUUUGAUAUUUUUUAAACAUGUUUGUGUGGUACUUAAGCGAUCGCUCCAGCCACGGAGCGAUCUGUCUCGUGCUUUAGAAAAACCUCACGGGUUCCAAAGUCUAGGUUAGAAUUUGGUUUCAAAGAUACCCCAGCUGUGUAACCUUGAGCAGGUUGCCCAACAUUUCUGAACUUCAGUUUCCUGUUUUAAUAAGACCAGUAAUGUCUGUCUUGAGUUCACCAGCACCUUUUCACUGACCAUCCACCACCUGCCUGACAUUAUGCUGGAGAUCCCGCGGAGCAAAAAACGGCCUCCACGCUCCUGGAGCUUGAAGUCCAAUGAGGGAGAGAGGAUAAAGAAAGCAAACAAAAUAAUCACAGUCAACAGUUUCCUGUAACAGAGAAGAACAGUGUGUGGGAGCCCUGGGGACUAGGAAAUCAUUCCCUCACACACCUCGUGUUAAUGCUUGGAGCAUACUCGCUAGUUUCUACUGUAGUCCUUACCUGGAAGCUUCCACCCCUGCUCCCCUCAGGGGUGGGGGCAGCAGGGGAGCCUGCCCUCAGCAAAGCCCAAGACCAGGCCCACCCCAUGCAGCCCAUGCACAGCUCCUACCAGAAUAAUCUGUUCUGCACCUUUUCAGUCCAUCCGAGGUUGCAGAGAGGGAAGAUGGACAGACUGCCAGCAGGGAUAGCUGCUGGCUGCAGACCCUGCCUGGCACAGGUCCGCCACUGAGCUGGCUUUGUCCCUUUGCCUAAUGGGCACCACCUGGGUCCCAGGGAAGGCAAUUGGCAUCAAUUAGUUCUCAUUGAGCCCAAGCUAGAACGGUACCCUGGCGCCCCUCCCAGGUAAUGGCGUCAGAAACCGCCAGCUCCUGGGCUGUGUGUCUUUCACUCCUCACGGCCUCCGUGGGUGACCUCUUUUCCAUCAGGCAGGACUCACCGAGCCCACAGCUGUCAUCAUCCCGAGCAACCUGGUUCUCAGAGCUAAGCAAUCAGACCCGAUCCGUCACCAUGUGCCAGGAGGGGCUGGUUGUAUGGGCUGAGGACACCUUAAGUAACAGAGGGAUGCUGACAAUUCCCUUUCUGGCUUUUCUCCUGGGAAUUUCAUGCAGGGCGGAAAGACAGGCCGUCUAGAAUUGGAGGUAUCGCAUAGAACCUAAGUGGGUACUCUGAAGGUGGACCUAGGGGAGAGAUCAAAGCCUCCCAGCUGUUUCCACCUGUCCAACUUGCACAAGUUCCUUAAUCUCCCUAAGCCUUGGUUGCUCCAUCUUAAAAUGGAUGUGGUGAUCACAGCACCUACCCCGUGCUGGGGGAACAAGCAAGUAAAAGAAUCCCCGUAAACACAUUGAGGAAAUGUUGAACAUGUGUCUGCUCUGACCCACCUUCUUCGCACCAGAAAUGUUUUGGCGCAUCUAAUAUGUGUGAAGCUCUCUUCCAGGCUCUGGAAAUGCAAAGACAAAUAACAAAGCUGGAAGGACUGUUAAAAGGCCUCUCAUCUGGUGACCAUUCAUGUUUUAGACUGCAACGCAGGGCAACCAGGGGAAAAGGCCCUGUGACCUACCUACGCCUUCGCAUCACUUAGCUUUUGUGGUGACACAAACCACUCCCACACUCAGUGACUUCCGGCGAUACCCUCUUUCUACUUUCUCAUGACUCUGGGUUAUCUGGGAAGUGCUUCUGGUCUGGGCCAGCCUGGGCUCUCGGCUGGGAUAUCUGAGCUCCUCUCCCUGUGGUGUCUCAGCCUCCAGGAAGCUACCGGUCGCCAUGUUCCCUAGGUGUCGGAAGGCCCCACGGGAAGGGAGAAGGCAAGCCCCAACUCACCAGCACUUUCCCAGCCUCUGCCUGUGACACCUUUGCUGUCGUUCCUGCGGCCAAAGCAAGUCACAAGGCCAAAGCCAGAGUCUGUAUGGGAGGGGACAGCCCAAGGAUGUGGAAUGAGGGACACAGGAACAAAUGGGGGCUAUCGCUGCCAUAGUCAACCAUGCUGAGCCAUCCCCGCUUUCCAGAGGAAAAAAGAAUUGAUGAUAAGGAAUCAGAGAAGGAAUACAGGGGAACCCCAUAUUCUGUACUCCCGUGAUCUUCAAAUGUGUUUGAUCACAUAGCCUCAUAAUAGUCAGCUUGGGCUGCCACAACAGAAUAUCUCAGAUGGGAGCUUCAGCAACAGACAUUUAUUUCUCACGGUUCGAGGCUAGAAGUCUGAAAUCAGAAUAUGCCAUCACAAUCGGUUCCAGUGAGAGCUGUCUUUCCAGCUUACCAACUGUGCUUAUGCAUGGGUGGGGGGGGGUGGGAAUGGAGGGGGGAGAAAGAGAAGGAGAGAGAGGGGUCUCCUCCUCUUCGUCUAAGGCCAUCCAACUCCAUCCUCAUGCCCUCAUUUAAUCUUAAUUACCUUCUAAAAGCCCUAACUCCAAAUCCAGGCAUGUUGGGGGUUAGGGCUUCAAUUUAUGAAUUGGGAGCCACAAUUCAGUCCAUAGCAAUCCCUGAUUUUUUAAAAUUUUGCCUCUCUAAUAUAUGCAUAUUUAUGUAUUCAUUAUACACACAUUCCAUUAAGCAGAACAUUUAGCUAGAUGAAUUAAAGGCGAAAAGUAAUAUUUUGAGUGCUAGUUUUCAUGACUCCAUACUAUUAAUAACCAAUAUCCCAGGCACAAUAUACCCGAAGGGUGAGUUUCAUCAUUAAUACAGUCAGUAUAAAUCCAUCUUUCAAGUUUCUUGGUAGUUUUCGUUUUAGGGGCAAGGGGACUGAUGACUUAGCAGAUCUCGUUUUUCCCUGACAUUGCGCUAACACAGUUCAUCCUAGCCCCAUCAGCUCAUUUCCUGUUUUUUACCCAGUCUUGUACUAGUGGUAUUACCUUUAAUCCUCAAUCUCUCUACAGUAAUCUAUUAAAACCAUUUUUCUAUUUUGUAGAGAUGAGCUCAAACUAAAUGAUGUGAUUUGUAAUCCACUUAUCCAAGUGCAUGUUGACCGUAAUGGCCCACAUUCCCCAGGGAGGAAAUACACAUGGGUGAGUUUCCCUCCGUUGGCCCCUCCUUGCGGAGCCCUUGAAGGACCGACCUGUGCCAUAGGUGACACGGGACCUUCUGACAUACCCACAGAGGGAAGCGCCUGCUGCCAAUCUGAACCUGAAAAGGUUCAGAAAGGAUAGCUGUGUUCUUUUUUUCAUUCCCAGCGUUUCAUUUUUGCCCAUUUGCCAUUGUGUUGAGUACCCCACUUGGAGACCACUGGUUUUCUUUGUCAGAGACAAAUAGGAGGGUUCACACAUAAUAUUAAGAUUUAAAACAAUGCCUUAUGCCCAAACGUGAUGGCUUAAAAUAGCAGAAAUGUACUGUCUCAAAAAUUCGGGAGGGUUGGAAUCGGAAAGCAAGGUGUGGGCAGGGCCCUGCUGUGUCUAGAGGCUCCAGGCAGAAUGAUCCCUUGACUCCUCCUCCUUGCAGGGUUGUCAGCCUCCGCGGCUGGCGUCACUCUGCGAGGUCACUCUGCGGUGUCAUCACAUGGCCUUUUCCUCCGUGUGUCUGCUCCUCAGGGUGUCCUUUACUAGGACAUCUUGCAUCAGAUGUGGGGCCAGUACCCAGAUAAUUCAGGAUGAUCUCAUCUCAAGCCCUUAAUGACAUCUGCAAAGACCCCGUUUCCAAAUAAGGUCCCCUUGUGCACGUUUGGAAGGUCAUCAUUAAACCCAAUGCACACAUCCUCCCCCACAGUUCUGCCCAAUGCAGUGGGGCCCAGGAGGAGACUCAGGGCACCGUGUGGACCAGCUUCCGUCUCUCCGUCCCUCAAGGCCCCGCAGAGCUUCUGGGAACACAAUGCUUCUUCACAGAACGUUUCCCCC